CUCUAGCACGAGUUUGCCAAAUUGGGUGCUUGGCUAAAAGAACCAUUGUCCAAACAAGCAACACAGAUGUGGUUUCUUGACCAGCAAAGUAAAAUAUCUUACACUCAUCCAUCACAUCUGUAAGGCUCAUUCCAGUACCACCACCAUUUUCUUGAAUCUCUCUAGAAUUUGCUUCCAUUAACAUACCUAGUAAAUCAUUAUUAUCAACCUCUCCUGCUUUCAUGGCCUUCUCUCUUUUAUUGAUGAUCCCUUUUAGUAAAUAUCUUAUCUCCGUGUCACACGCCUUUAGCUUCUUAUUAAAUUUAGUUGGUAGAAACCUAUAUAAAUAUGUAUGUAAGAAAUGUUGUAUAUAUAUAUAUACACAUAGACGAGCUUGAAAGAUUGUUUGCACAUUUAACAAUUACCUCCAUCCUGGAAUAUAAACAUUUUGUACAAGUUGUUGUAUGAGAAUGGCAAGUUCAUCCAUCAGUUGGAAGAUUCUUUUCCCUUCCUCAUGGCUGCUUCCAAACGCCGUUCGAGAAAUUAUAUCUCUUGUCAGAUCAUUAAGAUGAGGCCACACAUCCAACUCAAUCCAUUCCUUAUCAGAGACUAACUCCUCCCAUUUGUUCAUCAUAUCUCUAUUGCUUUCAUAGAAUGCAGGUAACAUAUUCUGUUCAAGAAAUAUAUCCAUGUAAAUACCAGAACAUAAAAUAACAUAUCAUGUCUGUGUGUUGGAAAUUUUACCUUUAACUUUUCUUGAUGGAAUGCUGGAUUAAUAAUUCUUCUAUGUUUAGCCCAUUUCUCACCUUCAUGACUUACUAGUCCAGUCACAAGAAGUUUUAAUAGAGGACUCAAUUCUUGUCUAUGAAACUCAUUAGUUUUAGCAAAGACAUGUUUGAUCUGUUCUGGGUUCAUUAUGGUUACCCUUGGUGUUGGUCCAUGCCAUGUGAAUGAAUUUUUCCCUGCAACAAUUUUUAGAAUUCUCAAAAUCAAAACUAAUUUCUAAAGUACCAACUAAACUGAUUAUAUGUAAAUGACCAUCCAUCAUCAUACUAUGUAAUGAGUUUACCAUAUUUCUUGAGGCUCUGGUAGAGGAAGGGAGUGACAUAAGGUGCAAUGUCAUGGUGGAGGCUAAUGGGUUUGGAGCUUGCCUCCACAAGCAUCAUGGAACUUUCUCUAGCGUCUCCAUGAAGAAGACGAUAUUGAUUGCCGUCAAGACCCUGUUGUCUCAGCCACUUCUCCAGCUUCUUUGGGUUUAACCAAACCCAGUUCAGAACCCGCCAUACACAUAUCACAAAAGCAAUUAAGAUAGCAGUUGUUGCAAUUGUUGUCAGCAUUUUCUGUUCAAUUAUUAUAUGUCUGAGUUCGUUUUCUUUGUGAGCUAUAUAUAUAUAUGUAUAUAUAUGCACACACACUACGAGAUACGAAUAAGAGACAUGAGGGAGGUAUUUAUAAUUUUAUAUGUCUACAUGCAAGGUGGAAAAUGUGCAUGCAAAUAGAAAUUUCUUUCUUGUAAAUCAAGUUUUUUUUUUUUCCUUGCAUGGUUUCUUGUGAAUCGAGUGAAAUUGAACAAGUCAAUCAAGUUUCUGACUUUUUGAGCCUGGUCUGGAUACAAGUCAAGAUCAACUUUUCUUUUUUCUUUUCAAAAGUUAUUUGUACUUUUCAAAAAUUAUUUCUUACCUUGUUAAUGUUAACUUCGUGAUUGUAUAAUAUUUUAAAUUUUUUUUUAUUAUAUUUAAAUAUUAGUGUUUAUUUUUUCAUUUCAUUUUUGGGUAUUCAUAUUUAUAAAUAAAGGUAAAUGUAAUUUUUAGCCUCUUAAUUUACAGUAGUGUCAUAAAAGAUUCCAAUUAACAUAAUUCUAAGAAAAAGUAGAGAGAAAAUUCUACUGUGCAUGAGGGAGAGGUAAAAUUCUUUCUUGCUUAUCAAGCGAAAAUCUACAAGUCAAAAAUUAGUCUUCAUAAAAUUUUCCAAAUGGGUGUCUCUAAUGACUAAUAUUCUCAAAUAUUAAUGUCCCGAAUGGUACGAAUUUAUCAUGCUUCCAUGAAGGUGCCUUAAUAUAUAUAUAUAUAUAUAUAUAUAUCUUCUUUGAAAAUCAAGAUCAUUAUCACCGUGGACUGCUAAAAGAAACUUAAGUAAAGAUAUAGACCACAAACUGAAUAUACAUAUAUAUAAGAACAAUUUCAAAAUCUUUCCAGCAGGUAUUUGACUCCCCUGUAUAUGCAAUAUAUACGUAUGUAUAUAGUGUUCGUGUAUAGCAAUAACAGAUUUAAUUAAAAAAAAUCUAAAGAUGGACGGCAAUAUGAUAUUAUAUACAAUAAUUAAUCUUGGAUAUGGAUGAUAUCCUUCGUAAUUGCCCAAAAUGUUUUUCUUUUUGUUCUUUUGCUGAAUUGAAAAAAGUAUAAUCUGUGGAUGAUAUGAAUGCGUAUAGAAAUUGACCUUUGAAAUUUCCAUUGUACUAUUCGCAUCACUUAAAGCAGUUGAUACUAAUCAUAUAUUUCUAAUCUGGCUCCUCAGAGAUUUUUCUUUCCUUUUCUGUGGCCAUGGGGAAGUUGAGCUAUUAUUUUUUUUAGCAUAUGUUUGAGAAAUUGUGAAUUGGUUUAAAGAAAAUAGAAGUUUAUUACGUUGUAUGUGUUGAAUUAUGCUAAAAAGUAUAAUAGUAGAUUGGAUCUUAUGUAAUUAAAUUACCUUUUUUUUUUUAUAGAAAACUUAUAUAUAUAACUGUAAUAUUUAAUAAAAUACACGUUAACAAUUAUUGAUAUGAUAUCAUAGUUCUAGAUUAAAGAAAUUAUAAUUCAAUUAUAAACUCUAUUCAAUUAUAAUUGUCGAAAUAAAAAAGAAAUUUACUACCGUAGAUAACUUAGGUUAACCUUUAUAAUUGACUACUGUAGAUCAAUUGCAAGCUACCAUUGUUGGCCACUAGUAGCAACCAAAUCGAUUUUCAUGUUGGUGUCAGAAUCCUCAGCCGUGCAUUUGUGGGUAGCCGCGAUAUAAACAGACGCAAUUGCACUAUUAAAUGCAGUCGUUAUCAGGCGUAUACGUGACCCUCUCUGCAAUAUUGUCACCUGUCAAGAUGCUAUAUAUCAUGACCCUCUCACGAGCAAAUAUAAUCACUAGACGCAGUCGUGACCAGACAAAGAUGUAGCUCUCUCUAUGCCAUUUUCAUAUGCCAUGACACCAUCUAUCAUGACUCAAUGCAAACACAACCAUCUUGCAACAAGAGGCAAAUGCUAGAUGGAGAUAUAACACCAUUUGUCACGACAUUUCUCUAUUAUAAGAUGUAAGAUGUACGAUGCUCAGCUCUUUAUACCAUCUUCUGUCCAGUUUAUGUCCAUACAACCUACGCACAAAGUUUAUGUUAAAAGAUAAUGAUAAAAAAUUUUUAAAAGACUUUACACUGCAUCUAUUAUCAGACACCCUAACAUUAUCAUUACAAGAGAACCAUCAUAAUCCACUAGAAUGUUCAUCUACUCAAGAUAUCAUACCUGACAUUGAUUAUGAAACUAAAGUAAGUCAUAGAAAACCUAUAUAGUAUAAUAAUGAUAUGUCUAUUAUACUUAAUAAAUAUACAAUAAAAUAUAUUAAAUACCAUUUUUAUUUAGUCUCACAGUUUGUAUUAUUAUAUAAGUAUUCAUUAUCUUAUAAAAAAAUUUCUUACAAGUUUAAAUAUUGAGUCUUUUCAUAACAUAAUAUUUAAAAUAUUAUCUUGCAGAAAUAAUAAAAAAAAUUAUAAAUGUAGAAAUGCAGACACUUAAAAAAAAUUAGACAUAGAAAAUUGUGGGUCUACCAAAAAACAUAAAUCUAAUGGGAUGCAAAUUAAUCUUUACAAUCAAAUACAAAGUUGAUGGGGCAAUCAAGAAAUACAAAACGAGAUCGGCACCAAAGGACUAUACACAGACAUAAAAAUUAGAUUAUCAAGAGGGAUUAGUACUAGUAGCCAAGAUGAGCCCUGUACGAAUGUUGUUAUCACUGGCUGUUCAUUUUAAUUGACAACUAUAAUAAUUUGAUGUGAAAAAAAUCUUCCUACAUGAAAAUUAAAAAGAAAAUUAUAUGAAUAUUUCACUAAAGUUUGAUAAAGAAAUAAAACAAGAUAAGUUAUGAAAAGUAAAGAUUGUCAUGUACAGGACUCAAGUAAUUCUUAAGAGCAUGGUUUGGUAACUUCACAAGAGCGAUGCUAGAUCUUGAAUUUAAGUAGGGUCAAUGAGACCAUACUUUAUUCAUCAAAUGCUUAGAAAUAAAUGGAGUCACAACUCUACUUUUAUAAAUUGAUUACAUUAUCGUAACAAAAGAUAAUAAGAAAAAAAAAACUCAUAUUAAUAUAAUGUUUGACAAUAGAAUUUGUAAUUAAGGAACUCGGUAAGUAAAAGUAUUUUCUAAUAAUUCAAGUUGCUCGCUCAAAGUCUAAGAUUUUUAUUUCUUAGCAAAAAAACAUUCAUGACCUAUUAAGGGACUCCAGUUAGUUAGCAUGCAAAUUAGUUAGUGCUUUUAUUGAUCAUAAUCACAAAUUAAAAAUAAUAUAAGAAAAUUCGCAGAUAAACAAUGAAAUGUAUAAGAAAUUGGUUGGGAAAUUGAUAUACUUAACCCCCUCUCACGAGAACAGACACUGCCUAUGCACUGAGUAUUACAAAGUCAAUUCAUGCACAAUCUUCAACCUUCGUAAUAUUGUAUUACAUAAAAAGGUUACUUGAAAAAGUAAUUAUAUUAAAGAAGAGUCGUAAAGUACUUAUAGAAAUCUAUAUUGAUAUGAAUCAUGUAUGGUCAUUUGUUGAUAGAAGAUAUACUAGAGAAUAUUGUACCUUUCUCAUGAGCAACCUUAGUUGCUUGGAAAAGUAAGAAGUAAAAUGUAGUUGCAAUAUCAAGUGCAAAAUUAGAAUUUUGAAUAACAACAUAAGGAGUAUGUAAACUAUUACGAAUAAAAAUUUUUUUAGAUCUUUAAGUCAAGUAGGAAAAUCUCAUGCAUCUAUACUUUAACAACAUAUUAGUCGUAAGCAUUGCAUACAAUUUGGUACAACAUGACUAUACCAAACAUAUUGAGUUAGAUAGAUAUUUUAUCAGAGAAAAACUUGAUUAGUACUAUAAUAUACCUACUAAUUCUCAAUGUGUUGAUUAAAGUCUUAAGCAAUCCAACAUUCUAAAUUCUUAUUGAUAAGUUAGUGAUAGAUAAUAUUUACUGUUCACCUUAACGAGGAAUAUUAAAGAAAUAACAAAUUAGGUGAAAUAGUAUAAGAUUCAGUUACACCUUAUUUAGUGAAUUAAGUUAAAUGAUAUAAGAGUAAAUUGCAUCUUAUGUAAUUAAUUGCAUAUUUUUUCUACAUCCUAAAAAACUUGUAUAUAUAUAGUUAUAAUAUUCAAUAAGAUCCACAUCAACCAUUUUUGACAGUAUAAAUUUAAUUUAAAUUUUGGUUUUUGUGUGCCUUCAUUAAGAAAUUGAUUAUUUUGUUUCCUUAUCUAAAGAUUGAUUGUGUUAUUAUUACUAUAUAAAUAUUAAAUAAUUAUUAGAAUACAUAAAUUUUUACUAUAAAAGGUGUCUACAUUGAACUCAAUAUUUUAUAUAUAUAUACAUAUUGAUGGCCAUGUUCUCAGACAUUUAUUAUAACUAACAAGAUAAUGUUCUUGCUUACAAAAUGAAACUUAAAUAUGAUAAACUUCCAAAAAGCACCGUAUUUGAUAUCUUUGUCGGUAUCAUAAUAUUUACUUUCUGAUUUAUAGCAUUAGAGCUUACGUAAAAUCAUAUUAGCACCAUACUGUGGAUGCGCGGUUAAAACCAGAACGGGUGAAUGAGUAUAAGUUGAGGAUAACUCAAACUCGAAGUGUUGCAGGAUCAUUGCCAGAGCUAUCUUUGCUUCCAUCAUCGCAAAAUUCUGACCAAUACAGAUUCUUGGACCCGAUGAAAAUGGAAGGAACGAGCUUUGGUUCUUUGUCGCCAUUGAAACUCCUUCUGCAAACCUCUCUGGUUUGAACUCCCCGGCAUCAUCACCCCACAGUUCUGGAUCACGAUGAAUCAGGAUAUUCGGAAUGCUGAUUUCAACACCAGCUGGUAGUACCAAGUUACCCAGUUUCGUUUCUUUCCCAACUAAUCGAAUAAGCUGCACAGCCGGUGGAUAUAAUCUCAGAACCUCGUACAAAAUCAUGGUCACCUGCAACAUUCCAUUAAUCAAUUAUAUGUAAACAUAGAUGGAGAGUCAAACGCUAAAAUCUACUUCUUUUUCACUCAUAAAGACGAUUAUAUGUAACGACGAGGAGUAUAUGUGUGUGUAUAUAUAUAUAUAUAUAUGUAUAUACUUACAAUUUUAAGACGAUUCAAUCCAUUAAAGUCGGGUUUGUUGUGACCAAAAACUCGGAGAACUUCUUCUCUAGCACGAGAUUGCCAAAUUGGGUGAUGGGCUAAAAGAACCAUUGUCCAAACAAGCAAUACAGAUGUGGUUUCUUGACCAGCAAAGUAAAAUAUCUUACACUCAUCUAUCACAUCUGUAAGGCUCAUUCCAGUACCACCACCAUUUUCUUGAAUCUCUCUAGAAUUUGCUUCCAUUAAUGUACCCAGUAAAUCAUCAUUAUCAACCUCCCCUGCUUUCAUGGCCUUCUCUCGUUUAUUGAUGACCCCUUUUAGCGAACACCUUAUCUCUGUGUCACAUGCCUUUAGCU
rnacentral:lncRNA from 1 species